AACAUUCAUUGCUGUCGGUGGGUUGUGAUGCUGAAAGAGAAACUCGCUGAUCAGUGGAUGUAA
rnacentral:pre_miRNA from 1 species